GAAUAAACGUAACAUGUGAUUUUAGAACACAACUCCAGCUACUGAAAACUCAGAAAAAGAAGACCCAGGUGGCGAAAAUGUCACAGAACCAUCAAGUUCCGAUAAUGCUACACAAACUGCUGUUCUAACACUUGAGCCUGAUGCAGUAAGUCAGAAUAUUAAUACGUGAUUAUUUUUAGUUAUAUUCAAA